rnacentral:lncRNA from 1 species
UAUGUGUUCAGGAAUUCCUGAAGAUUCCUGUGCUAUAACAUUUCCUUAGGGAAAAACAAAAGAACCCAACCAAAAGAAAGCAGCAACAAAAAAAACAAACCCAAAACCAAACGAAACCAAACAAAAACAACAACAAAAGACAAAUAAAAUCCUCAAAACAACAAAACAAAAACCUAAGCAAGGAAACAAAGAUAAAAAACCCAAACCAACAAAAAAACCCCGAACUCAACCUAAACUAAAAAAAUAAGCAAAGAUCCCCAAACAGACUUCUGGGAAAAGGUGACAUUUUCUGGGAUGUUCUUCAGCUGAUUGAGAAGCAAAGCUGAACUGACCAUACCAAUUGUACAAGUUUUUUGGCUACAGGAAAUACUUCAAAGAUUAUUUUUGAAAGCAUCAAUAGUGGUGUCCCUCAGCUAACUACAUGAUAAACCUUAAAUUGUGUAAUUGAACCUUGAUGCUUAUUUUUUUUCUGUAGAUACCAGCCAACUUAGUCAUAAAUAUCUCUAAACUUCACAGUCUGUAGACAUUGCUACUUCCCAGAGCUUUUAUUUUCCAUACUUCCAAAAUGACAAAUCAAUGGUACUCAAGAACAAGAGAGUUCUUAAUUGAUUGGAGAUCCAAAACCUCUCAAAGGCUUUCUGGAAGUAUUUGUAUAUUAAAUGAUGAACUCUGGGCCAGAUACAGCAUGUUUCUUGCAUGAGGGGAUUUGUGCACGUUUGAAAGUUGGGAUGCCUCAAUAGGAAUUACAGCAGUGAAAUAUCUUUGUCACUUUACAGAUUAGUGUUUGGCAGAGUAUGGGAGUGAAUCAUCCAGGAAAAACUGAGUGUUUGCCCUUGUGCAAGCCUUGGGAAUUGUGAGUGGAGAGUUGGGGACAGCCCUUCCCUGGCAGGGGGACACUCAGGGGCAGAGACAUGGCCCCAGCCCAGCCAGCAGUGACAGCUGAGCAGUGCUGGAGGCUUCUGUGGGAGUUAAACAGCCAAGCUUUAUUAAGUCAAACAAGAAACCAUGGGAACUGCAAAAAGAUCAUGCAGCACCGGGGGACACAGCCCUGCCAAAUUUCAACAGAGCAGUGGGUGAGCAGAGGACAUGAGGAGUCUGUGAGAAACCUUGAUAUCCAUGACCACAGCUGGAGCAGUUUACCAGGACAGUCAGGGAAUUACAGCUCUGCACUGCCUGAGUUCUGCAAUCAUCUUCCCAGAGUGUUGUGAUGGCUCAUCAGGAUGCAGCUGUAGUUUGUUCAGAUUAUAUCAAUUUCAGCUGUUUACCUUUUCCAAGGUCAUAAUCGGUUUAAGAGAAAAUAAUUCUGUGGGGGUACAGAUCAGAUCAGGAAGCUCUGGAGUGAUCGUUGUGAAACAAACUGGGAAUUUUAGAUCUUGCUUAAAGUUCAAAAAAAAAUAAAAUACUGGGAAUUAAAUAAUACCA